CUGGGGGGUGCUAGUACUGCAGUCGAGCGGACAGAAGGGAGCUUGCUCCCGGAUGUUAGCGGCGGACGGGUGAGUAACACGUGGGUAACCUGCCUGUAAGACUGGGAUAACUCCGGGAAACCGGAGCUAAUACCGGAUAGUUCCUUGAACCGCAUGGUUCAAGGAUGAAAGACGGUUUCGGCUGUCACUUACAGAUGGACCCGCGGCGCAUUAGCUAGUUGGUGAGGUAACGGCUCACCAAGGCGACGAUGCGUAGCCGACCUGAGAGGGUGAUCGGCCACACUGGGACUGAGACACGGCCCAGACUCCUACGGGAGGCAGCAGUAGGGAAUCUUCCGCAAUGGACGAAAGUCUGACGGAGCAACGCCGCGUGAGUGAUGAAGGUUUUCGGAUCGUAAAGCUCUGUUGUUAGGGAAGAACAAGUGCAAGAGUAACUGCUUGCACCUUGACGGUACCUAACCAGAAAGCCACGGCUAACUACGUGCCAGCAGCCGCGGUAAUACGUAGGUGGCAAGCGUUGUCCGGAAUUAUUGGGCGUAAAGGGCUCGCAGGCGGUUUCUUAAGUCUGAUGUGAAAGCCCCCGGCUCAACCGGGGAGGGUCAUUGGAAACUGGGAAACUUGAGUGCAGAAGAGGAGAGUGGAAUUCCACGUGUAGCGGUGAAAUGCGUAGAGAUGUGGAGGAACACCAGUGGCGAAGGCGACUCUCUGGUCUGUAACUGACGCUGAGGAGCGAAAGCGUGGGGAGCGAACAGGAUUAGAUACCCUGGUAGUCCACGCCGUAAACGAUGAGUGCUAAGUGUUAGGGGGUUCCGCCCCUUAGUGCUGCAGCUAACGCAUUAACCACUCCGCCUGGGGAAUACGGCCGCAAG
rnacentral:rRNA from 1 species